rnacentral:rRNA from 1 species
CCUACCAUGCAAGUCGAGCGAUUCUCUUUUGAGAAGAGCGGCGGACGGGUGAGUAACGCGUGGGUAACCUGCCCUGUACACACGGAUAACAUACCGAAAGGUAUGCUAAUACGGGAUAAUAUAUUUUGAUGGCAUCAUCGAAAUAUCAAAGCUCCGGCGGUACAGGAUGGACCCGCGUCUGAUUAGCUAGUUGGUGAGGUAAUGGCUCACCAAGGCGACGAUCAGUAGCCGACCUGAGAGGGUGAUCGGCCACAUUGGAACUGAGACACGGUCCAAACUCCUACGGGAGGCAGCAGUGGGGAAUAUUGCACAAUGGGCGAAAGCCUGAUGCAGCAACGCCGCGUGAGCGAUGAAGGCCUUCGGGUCGUAAAGCUCUGUCCUCAAGGAAGAUAAUGACGGUACUUGAGGAGGAAGCCCCGGCUAACUACGUGCCAGCAGCCGCGGUAAUACGUAGGGGGCUAGCGUUAUCCGGAAUUACUGGGCGUAAAGGGUGCGUAAGUGGUUUUUUAAGUCAGAAGUGAAAGGCUACGGCUCAACCGUAGUAAGCUUUUGAAACUGAGAAACUUGAGUGCAGGAGAGGAGAGUAGAAUUCCUAGUGUAGCGGUGAAAUGCGUAGAUAUUAGGAGGAAUACCAGUUGCGAAGGCGGCUCUCUGGACUGUAACUGACACUGAGGCACGAAAGCGUGGGAGCAAACAGGAUUAGAUACCCUGGUAGUCCACGCCGUAAACGAUGAGUACUAGGUGUCGGGGGUUACCCCCCUCGGUGCCGCAGCUAACGCAUUAAGUACUCCGCCUG